ensembl:lncRNA novel transcript, antisense to OBSCN
GCCUCUCUGCCUCAGGCCACCCGUCAACUCCGCAGAAGGGAGAGCCCUCACAUGGGGCCAGAUGAGGCCGUGCAGGGACUGCAGGAGUAUCCCCGAGGGAGGGACGUCUGGCUUACCGCCAUCUCAUGCAUUAGAUAGGACCAGAGUCCUGGACACCUCGGGACAUCGGUAGUUUGGAGAAGGUACUGGGAAAAUGUGACCCAGCAUGUCUGCACAGAAACACCACCCAACAUGGACAAGGAGGGCCCUGACCCUUCCGUUCACUCCCUUCCCCACUAAGCAGCCCAGCUCCACCACAGGCAUAAAAAUAGGAGGUGAGAGGAUGGGAGAAGUUGAGGGAUGGAGUCUAAUGGAAAGCCCACUGGGUCAGCAGUGGUUCUACUCCAGUCACAGCAGCAGCUACAAACAGGGCUCACUCAGCAUCCCCAAAGCACUGACCUGCCACCUGCAGGCGGAAGGAGAGCUGCUGACCCCCUGCCUCGCAGCUGUACUCCCCGGCCUCUGCCUGGCCCGCCUGCUGCACCACCAGCCUCCGUGUGCAGCCCACGGCCUCCACGCGCACUUUCGAGCUGGAACUCAGCUUCUUCCCAUCCUUGUACCACGUCACCUCUGUCUGGGCCUGGGCCACCUCGCAGCUCAGCGUGGCACUGGCCCCCGCCUCAGCCUGCACCUCCCUGUGUGCUGGCUGCUCCUUGGCAAACACCACCUUGGGCUCUGGGGAUGGACAAGGAGGGACACACGAGGUCAAAGAUACUGCCCAGGUCAGGAAGACCACCCUAGGGUAGGAGGGCCUAGACAAGAAAGUAGGAGAAACAGAACCUUCCCAAGCUUGGCACUGGCCAUGUAGCUGGGAGAAGCCCCACCACCUCCCAGCACAAGAAUCACAGUUUCUCCAUCCACUGUGCAGUGCCAUGGGCUAUUCCAGGCGGGGCAGUUGUGACAAACCCUCCGUGCACGAGCUCCUCCAGUGCAGGGACUGGGUUCCUAAUGCUUACACAGCUCCCUUCAAGGAUAUGCUAGGGUCUCCCCAUGGGACUGGGCAGGGCGUGUCCUCACUGCAGGGCCCCAGAGUACUGAGGCUUCCAGUCCUGCCACUGUCAGGAGGGUCAGCGUUGGCCUCUGCGGGGAAGGCCUGGGCUUUGUCAUGCAUUGCCUGGUGACAUGCAAGGUGGAGCCCUUUCCACCACUUCUGGCCAUUACGUCAGCUCUUCUGGGGUGUCGCUCUUCAGGCUUCUGUCCAAUUUUCAGUAGCCUUUUCUGUCUUUUCCUUCCUUAUUUUUAGGAACUCUUUAUAUAUUUUAAAUGCUAGCAAAUGAUAACUGUGUAUUUGUAAACAUCUUACCCAUGUCCUUGACCGGCCUUUUCGCUCUCAAAUGAUGUCUUGACAAAUUAAAGUUUUAGUUUUAAUGUAGUUAAAUAUACCAUUGUUCCACUGUUUAGUUUUAAGAAAUCUUUCCUUUCCCUGAAGUUUUUAGCAAUCUAUGUUAGCAUCUAGAGGCUUUAUGGUUUUACCUUUUAUACUCUGUGGCCUCUAACCUUCCUGGAACUCACUUUUCAGUGUGAAAUAAGUUACUAGUCUAAAUUUUUGUAAGGUUAAACAAUCAAAGAACUAUUUUUUUUUUAGAAGAUCAUCCUUUCUCCACUGCCUGUGCAGGUGUGAAGGUUAAAAAAAAAACACACAAAACACACACACACAAAAAAAACAAGAAGCAAUAAAAGGGAGAAUCCAUGUAUUUGGGUCUGAUCAUGAGCUCACGAUUCUGUCCCUUUGGUCUGACAACUGUCCUUGUGUUGUGCCUGGCUGUCUCCAUUCCUGCAGCUGAAUGUUCUUGAUAUCUGGUAGACAAAUGCUCACAAGUGGCUCUUCAAGAGUGUGUUACUCCACUUGGCCUUCAGAAUCUGCUUCUCAACGUUCACCUCCCCAAAGAGAAACAUUUGCUUGGGUUUUGACUGGGCAUUAACAUAUUUGAGUCUUCCAUGGGUUUCUAUUUAUUUAGGUCUUCUUACUGUCUGUCAAAAAUGUUUCACAAUGGCCAGGCACAGUGGCUCACACCUGUAAUCCCAGCACUUUGGGAGGCUGAGGUGGGAGGAUUGCUUGAGGUCAGGAGUUUGAGCCCAGCCUGGGCGAAAUAGUGAGACCCUGUCGCUACCAAAAAAAUUCCUUAAAAAAUUAGCUAGGCAUGGUGGUGCACGCCUGUAUUCUCAUCAAGUCAGGAGGCCGAGGUGGGAGGAUCUCUUGAGCCCAGGAGGUUGAGGCUGCAGUGAGCCAUGAUUGCACGACUGAACUCCACUCUGGGUGACAGAGUGAGAUCCUGACUCAACAACAAAAAUAUCUGACAAUUUUCCUCCACUGAGGUAUCAGACAUCUUUACUAUACUUGAUGCUUUUCACGCUCUUGUAAAUCUUUUAAAAUUUCAUUUUACAACUGUGUUGCUAGUGUGUGUGUGUAUGCGUAUAUACAUACAUACAUAUAUAUGUGUAUUCUGCAUGUUGAAUUUCUAUGUGAUGUUUCUCAACUCUCAUAUUAUUUGUUAUAACUUAUUAUUUAUCUUAUUAUUUAUCUAUCUUUUGGAUUUUCUGAAUUGAUACUCAUAUAAUCUGUGAAUCCCACUUAUGUUUUUCUCCAAGUGUUAUACCUUUUCUUUUCUUUUCCUCCUUUCUCUGCUGUACAGUGCUGAAUGGAAGUUGGGAUGGUUGGCUUCUACGUGCUGAUUCCUAUCUCAAAGGCAAAGCUUUCAAGGUUCUCUUUAAAUAUGCAGUUACCUGGUGUUUUCUGCAGUACCACUGACCAGAUUAAAGAACGAUACUUUAUAAUUUGUUAAGAAUUUCAUGGCAUGAAUUGAUGCUGAAUUUUAUCAAAUAUUACCUCUGAACUUU